GUCCCGGUAGCUCAGAGGAUAGAGCGGCUGCCUUCUAAGCAGAUGGUCGUGGGUUCGAUUCCCACCCGGGACGCCA
rnacentral:tRNA from 1 species